AGCAGCCGCCACGGUAACGCGGAGGGUGCGAGCGUUGUCCGGAUUUAUUGGGUUUAAAGGGUGCGCUGGCGGGGGGGUCAGCCCGCGGUGAAAGACGAUCGCUCAACGAUUGCAGUGCCGUGGAUACUGCCCUUCUUGAAUCUGGUUAAGGCCGGUGGAAUUGACCGUGUAGCGGUGAAAUGCAUAGAUAUGGUCAAGAACUCCAAUUGCGAAGGCAGCCGGCUGGGCCAGCAUUGACGCUCAGGCACGAGAGUGCGGGGAUCAAACAGGAUUAGAUACCCCCGUAGUCCCUGUCUCUUAUAC
rnacentral:rRNA from 1 species